UCGUGGCUCAGUGGGAUAGCAUCUGCUUUGCAUGCUGACAGUUCCAGGUUCAGUUUCUGGCAUCUCAA